CAAGAGAGAAAGACAGGGCUCUGAAAAUACUGCCACAGGCUCAAGUUCCAAAGUGCUGGAGUUAUAAAAGGAUAAAGGACAACAUAAAGGACUUUUUAGCCAAAGAAGAACCAGAAAGGUUCUCUCCAACAGGAAGAGUCCUAGGGAAUUGGAGACAUCGCGAAGGAAUGUUUCUUUCUGCCUACUGAUUGUCAAAGCUAA